rnacentral:rRNA from 1 species
CGCGCAGGCGGCCAAACAAGUCAGGCGUGAAAGCCCCGGGCUUAACCUGGGAAUUGCGCUUGGGACUGUUUGGCUCGGGUACGGGAGAGGAGAGUGGAAUUCCCAGUGUAGAGGUGAAAUUCGUAGAUAUUGGGAAGAACACCGGUGGCGAAGGCGGCUCUCUGGACCGUAACUGACGCUGAGGCGCGAAAGCGUGGGGAGCAAACAGGAUUAGAUACCCUGGUAGUCCACGCUGUAAACGAUGUGCGCUAGACGUUGGAGGACCUAGUUCUCCGGUGUCGCAGCUAACGCUUUAAGCGCACCGCCUGGGGAGUACGGCCGCAAGGUUAAA